rnacentral:rRNA from 1 species
UGCGAGUCAUUGUAGCAAUACAAGGCAGACGGCUCAGUAACGCGUAGUCAAUCUACCCUAUGGACGGGAAUAAUCUCGGGAAACUGAGAAUAAUGCCCGACAGAACAUUAUACCUGGAACGGUUUAUGUUUCAAAUGAUUUAUCGCCGUAGGAUGGGACUGCGGCCUAUCAGUUUGUUGGUGAGGUAAUGGCCCACCAAGACUAUUACAGGUACGGGCUCUGAGAGGAGUAGCCCGGAGAUGGGUACUGAGACACGGACCCAGGCCCUAUGGGGCGCAGCAGGCGAGAAAACUUUGCAAUGUGCGAAAGCACGACAAGGUUAAUCCGAGUGGUUUCUGCUAAAGAAACCUUUUGCUAGUCCUAGAAACACUAGUGAAUAAGGGGUGGGCAAGUUCUGGUGUCAGCCGCCGCGGUAAAACCAGCACCUCAAGUGGUCAGGAUGAUUAUUGGGCCUAAAGCAUCCGUAGCUCGUUUUGUAAGUUUUCGGUUAAAUCCAUACGCUUAACGUAUGGGCUGCCGGGAAUACUGCAUAACUAGGAAGUGGGAGAGGUAGACGGUACUCGGUAGGAAGGGGUAAAAUCCUUUGAUCUAUUGAUGACCACCUGUGGCGAAGGCGGUCUACCAGAACACGUUCGACGGUGAGGGAUGAAAGCUGGGGGAGCAAACCGGAUUAGAUACCCGGGUAGUCCCAGCUGUAAACUAUGCAAACUCAGUGAUGCAUUGGCUUGUGGCCAAUGCAGUGCUGCAGGGAAGCCGUUAAGUUUGCCGCCUGGGAAGUACGUACGCAAGUAUGAAACUUAAAGGAAUUGGCGGGGGAGCACCACAAGGGGUGAAGCCUGCGGU